rnacentral:rRNA from 1 species
GAUGAAAUCUUGACAGAACCCUUCGGGGCGAAGAUAAGAUGGAUUAGCGGCGGACGGGUGAGUAACACGUGAGUAACCUGCCUUAGACAUUGGGAUAGCCUCGGGAAACCGGGAUUAAUACCAAAUGAAAUCACAUAUGCACAUGCAUAAAUGAUCAAAGCUCCGGCGGUCUAAGAUGGACUCGCGUCCCAUUAGCUAGUUGGUGAGGUAACGGCCCACCAAGGCGACGAUGGGUAGCCGGCCUGAGAGGGUGAACGGCCACAUUGGAACUGAGAAACGGUCCAAACUCCUACGGGAGGCAGCAGUGGGGAAUAUUGCACAAUGGAGGGAACUCUGAUGCAGCGACGCCGCGUGAACGAAGAAGGCUUUCGAGUCGUAAAGUUCUUUUAUAUGGGAAGAUAAUGACGGUACCAUAAGAAAAAGCCCCGGCUAACUACGUGCCAGCAGCCGCGGUAAUACGUAGGGGGCUAGCGUUGUCCGGAAUCACUGGGCGUAAAGGGUUCGCAGGCGGAAAUGCAAGUCAGGUGUAAAAGGCAGUAGCUUAACUACUGUAAGCAUUUGAAACUGCAUAUCUUGAGAAGAGUAGAGGUAAGUGGAAUUUUUAGUGUAGCGGUGAAAUGCGUAGAUAUUAAAAAGAAUACCGGUGGCGAAGGCGACUUACUGGGCUCAUUCUGACGCUGAGGAACGAAAGCGUGGGUAGCAAACAGGAUUAGAUACCCUGGUAGUCCACGCUGUAAACGAUGAGUGCUAGGUAUCGGAAUAAUUCGGUGCCGCAGUUAACACAUUAAACACUCCGCCUGGGGAGUACGC